GGGAUUGCCCUAGUAACGGCGAGUGAAGCGGCAACAGCUCAAAUUUGAAAUCUGGCUCUUUCAGGGUCCGAGUUGUAAUUUGCAGAGGGUGCUUUGGUGUUGGCGGCGGUCUAAGUUCCUUGGAACAGGACAUCGCAGAGGGUGAGAAUCCCGUAUGUGGUCGCCUGCCUUCGCCGUGUAAAGCCCCUUCGACGAGUCGAGUUGUUUGGGAAUGCAGCUCUAAAUGGGAGGUAAAUUUCUUCUAAAGCUAAAUACCGGCCAGAGACCGAUAGCGCACAAGUAGAGUGAUCGAAAGAUGAAAAGCACUUUGGAAAGAGAGUCAAACAGCACGUGAAAUUGUUAAAAGGGAAGCGCUUGCAGCCAGACUUGCCUGUAGUUGCUCGCCUGGGCUUUUGCCCGGGUUACUCUUCUGCAGGCAGGCCAGCAUCAGUUUGGGCGGUCGGAUAAAGGUCCCUUUCACGUAUCUCCCUUCGGGGUUAACAUAUAGGGGGGACGUAAUGCGACCAGCCUGGACUGAGGUCCGCGCAUCUGCUAGGAUGCUGGCGUAAUGGCUGUAAGCGGCCCGUCUUGAAACACGGACCAAGGAGUCUAACAUCUAUGCGAGUGUUUGGGUGUCAAGCCCGAGCGCGUAAUGAAAGUGAACGGAGGUGGGAACCCCUCGGGGCGCACCAUCGACCGAUCCUGAUGUCUUCGGAUGGAUUUGAGUAAGAGCAUAGCUGUUGGGACCCGAAAGAUGGUGAACUAUGCUUGAAUAGGGUGAAGCCAGAGGAAACUCUGGUGGAGGCUCGCAGCGGUUCUGACGUGCAAAUCGAUCGUCAAAUUUGGGCAUAGGGGCGAAAGACUAAUCGAACUU
rnacentral:rRNA from 1 species